GGACUACCAGGGUAUCUAAUCCUGUUUGCUACCCACGCUUUCGUGUUUCAGCGUCAGUUACGGUCCAGAGAGCCGCCUACACCACCGGUGUUCCUCCUGAUAUCUACGCAUUUCACCGCUACACCAGGAAUUCCACUCUCCUCUCCCGCACUCUAGUCCUUCAGUAUUCGGCGCACCCUCCCAGUUGAGCCGGGAGAUUUCACACCAAACUUAGAGAACCACCUACACACCCUUUACGCCCUAUAACUCCGAACAACGCUUGCUGCCUACGUAUUACCGCGGCUGCUGGC
rnacentral:rRNA from 1 species